AACUCAUCAACCCUGUGAACAUACCUAAAACGUUGCCUCGGCGGGAACAGACGGCCCCGUAACACGGGCCGCCCCCGCCAGAGGACCCCCUAACUCUGUUUCUAUAAUGUUUCUUCUGAGUAAACAAGCAAAUAAAUUAAAACUUUCAACAACGGAUCUCUUGGCUCUGGCAUCGAUGAAGAACGCAGCGAAAUGCGAUAAGUAAUGUGAAUUGCAGAAUUCAGUGAAUCAUCGAAUCUUUGAACGCACAUUGCGCCCGCCAGUAUUCUGGCGGGCAUGCCUGUUCGAGCGUCAUUACAACCCUCAGGCCCCCGGGCCUGGCGUUGGGGAUCGGCGGAAGCCCCCUGCGGGCACAACGCCGUCCCCCAAAUACAGUGGCGGUCCCGCCGCAGCUUCCAUUGCGUAGUAGCUAACACCUCGCAACUGGAGAGCGGCGCGGCCACGCCGUAAAACACCCAACUUCUGAAUGUUGACCUCGAAUCAGGUAGGAAUACCCGCUGAACUUAAGCAUAUCAAUAAGCGGAGGAAA
rnacentral:rRNA from 1 species